rfam:Asian citrus Psyllid, Diaphorina citri - Florida Strain, whole genome shotgun sequence.
GCCUGCGGUGAUGGCACGUGUAACGCACCAGCUCCCGAUGGAUCACUGAAGCAACGUUGCGCGUGGUUGGUAUACGGAUGGGUGACCAUCUGGGGAAUUACGUGCUGCUACUU